CCUGGUGAUCACAAGAAAAAGUAGUCAGGCCACCAGUUGGGCAGUACACGCCUAGGCAAACUAGUUGGAAGCUCAGACCAUUCAAAGGUACCCUGUGAGAGGCAAGUACCCUGUGUGGACCCAUUUAUCUCCAAGCAAUGCUGCUAGCUCCAAUAGUUUGUGGGUGUAGCUGCUCUUCCUGGGCAGUUAGCUUAUCUUAAAUCUUCCUAUUCUUGACUCUUGGAAAGGUGAUUAAUCACUACUUUACAAAUUUAACUACAGAAUCUCAAUUCCAUUGCAACCUUCCAUUAGGACCGGGAAGAGGUAAGAGGAGGAGCAGUGGAGUGGAGGCAUGGCAAGACACUGGGCAACCAUCUGUCUGAAAUUACUGUUAGCAAAGCCCUAACUAAUGCACUCUAUCUCAUUCAUUUCACAAACGCUUCUGUAAUCCUGAGUAAAUCUCCAACCCCAUCUUCCUUCAACACUCAUUCCUACAACUGUGAUCUAUGUCCUGGUCAUUCCCCCUGCCUUGCUCUAAUGUCUACUGAAAUUUACCAUGAUAAACAUGACUGGCUAAGUAACAGAUGGGAGGCAGGAGGGGAGGAGCAGGGGUUGGGGGGAUAACAUUCUAACUCCCUGAAGCACACUGACUAACCUACAACAGAUACUACUUAUCCGGCCUUGUCUCCUUGGGUCAGUCUGGCCUUGUGGCCAUCCCUGAUUUUGCAUUUACUUUUCAUGAACUCUGCCUGUGAUCCAUGCUUAUUGAAGAGUUAACCUGCAAGAGCCUUUUAAUUUCCAGGAGCUAGGUAUAGAGGGAAAAAGAGAGAUAGGUUUUUCUUAUCUCAUUAAGAAUGGAACUACAAGCCAGGCAUGGUGGCACAUGCCUUUAAUUUGAGCAUUUGGGAGGCAGAAGCAGGCGAAUUUCUGAGUUCGAAGCCAGCCUGGUCUACAGAGUGAGUUCCAGGACAGCCAGGGCUAUACAGAGAAACUCUGUCUCGGAAAAAAAAAUUGUAAGAACGGAACUACAGGGGGCUGGCAAGAUGGCUCAGUGGUACAAGCACUGACUGCUCCCCUGUAGGUCCUGAGUUCAAAUCCCAGCAACCACAUGGUGGCUCACAACCACCUGUUAUGAGAUCUGACAUCUUCUUCUGGUGAGUCUGAUGACAGCUAUAGUGUACUUAUUUAUAAUAAUAAAUAAAUCUUUCAGUGAGCAGGGCUGAUCAGAGCAAGCAAAGGUCCUAAAAUUCAAUUCCCAACAAUCACAUGAAUGCUUGCAAACAUCUACACAGCUACAAUGUACUCAUAUACAUAAAAUAAAUAAUCUAAAAAAAAAAAAAAAUGGAACUACAGGCCCAAUUCCCCAGUCAACAGGGGAAUAUAAUCAAAAACCUCAGGGAAAUGUUUAUAGACCAGGCCCUUUCUUACUGAAAAGGGAAAGGACAGUAGACAGGCUAAGGUUUGGGAGGCAGAGUACAAAGUUAAGGAGGUUAGCUGUUCCUUGGUCAGUGUAAAAACUGAUGGGGCUCAAUUCCAUGUAAUUUAUUUGCUCCCUCAUUAAGCAAAUAAUCCAUAAAUACUGCUACUAUAUUACCAGUUACAGUCACUGUGUGCUCGUCCAGGCUUUGUAAGUACUACAUAGUCCUCACCUUAAUUCUUUCUCUUUUUACAUUUUAACUUUUUCUUACCUGUGUGUGGGGAGGUAUAGCUGUACCACAGUGUACCUAUGGAGGACAGUGGACAGGUCUGUGGUUCUGGGGACUGCACUCAGCUCUGAUGCUGCACACGCACUGUAGCUCGCUAGCAUCUGGUCCCUCACUUGAUUAUACGGUAUGUAUUCUUACUGCCUAUGACCCACCAUAUCCCCACACUAUCUGUGUGUCAUUAAGAUAGCCAAAGGUGAUGGAGGGGUGGCUCAGCAGUAGUGUGUAUAGUAUUGCUCUUGCUAAGUGUGGUUUCCAGCCCCCAUGUCAGAGGCUCCCAGCCUAUAGCUCCUGCUCCAGGGAAUAUGUUUCUGGCCUCCACAAGGACCUGACUCACGUGAACGUAAGCCUAUAAACACAUAAUUGAACAUAAAUCACUUUCUAAAAAUGGAUGAAAACAAAGGUCUAUGGUGAAACCAAGUAUUGGGGCCUAUGUAACUAUAAUGUCUUUUCUGGGCUCCAGUUUUUGUUUUUUUGUUUUUAAAGAUUUAUUUAUUAUGUAUACAGCAUUCUGCCUAUAUGUAUGCCUGCAGGCCAGAAGAGAGCACCAGAUCUCAUUACAGAUGGUUGUGAGCCACCAUGUAGUUGCUGGGAAUUGAACUCAGGACCUCUGGAAGAGCAGACAACUCCCGAGCCAUCUCUCCAGCCCUGGGCUCUUGCUGACCUUUCUCUUGGGUUAGGGGUUAAAGCCUACAGUCUCGUGCUUAGCUUUUGGUCCUCAGCUAUAACCCUAUCCUCCAAAGUCCCGACUUCCCAUGCACUAGAAGCAGAGGUACGAAUUGGAUGUGACAGGGCUUUCAGGUCUGUUGCAACAAAUACGUGUGUCUUUGUGGUAGACUGGCUCUCAUCACAGUAUUGCAGUAUCUUCAUAUCAUGCAACAACUCAAGUAUCAAAAUGUUUUCAAGGCCACAAUAUGACAAGAGGAAAAAAAGACGACGGUCUGAUAGCACUGUCAUGAGUCACUAUGCCUAGAUUAGAGAAACUGACAUUGUGACAAACUUAUCCUGUGGCAAUAAUGGAGGUGGAGAGGCUUAGAAUGUUUUUCUAGGUAUAUAGACCUCAAGAAAAAGAAAAAUUAGUUGCUUUAAAACCAUGUUCACAUUUUUAUUGUUUGUCUUUUUCUUUUUUUAGACCAGUUAUCUCUACGUAGCUCUGGCUGGCCUGCAAUUCAUUACGUAGGGCAGGCUAGGCUUGACUAUUCACAGGUAGAUACCCACCUCUUCCUCCUGAGUGGUGGGACUGAAGGUGUGCACCAGCCUGUGUUCCCCAUUCCUAAGGCAACCUGUGGGCUCUAGGUUACUAAGACAAUAUCCUAUCAGGAAGGCAAAGGGAAGGGGUACAGUGGUCCUCAUGCUCCUCUGCACAGUGUUUAACCUUCCCAGCGGAUCCCAACUGAACCAGCAAAGCCACGGCCAGCUCCAAUAGUGAAAUCUUCUACACUGGCUCAUGGUCCUGGACCUAAGGGCCACAGACAGACCAGGCACUACGGAAAGAAGUCAGUCGGUGAUUCUCAUCCGUAACACUUCAGGUCUGUGAGGAACUGAGCUGGAUCUAUAACAUGCCAGAAAUGAACAAUAAAAAUGUUCCCUGUCACACUGCACCAGGGGACAGAUAUCUAAAGGAAGGUAGAGAUGGCUUGGUGGUUAAGAGCACUGACACCUCUGCCAGAGGACCCAGGUUUGAUUCCCAGGACCCACAUGGUGGCUCAAAACUAUCUGUAAGCUCUGAUUACAAGAGAUUCAAUACCCACCUCUCCUGCCUCUAUGGGUGCCAGGUAUGUAAGGCAAAACACCCAUACACAUAAAAUUAAAUUGAAUUUUAAAAGAUAUCUAAAAGCAGAUGAAUCUUUCUAAAGGAGCCAGUAAUUCAGUUUCAUCUUUAUCAACAUGAACUGAAAAUUCUAUUAAGUUAACUAUUUAGAACUUUCUAGAACAGAAUAUAGAGUCCCUUCACUGUUACCUAACUAAGAUUCUUUUUGGUAUUCUCAGCUAAGGAACUUGAAAUACAUUAUUUUUUUAGCAGUGCAGAAACACUACCCCACUACUCUUUUAUUCUAUUCUUGACUAUGGAAAAGCCUAAAACAAAUAUUAUCCUUUAAGGCUGUUCCUAUUCUAAAUAGCAACAUGAACAAUAUAUAUUUAUUUUUAAAUCUUAAAGGUGAUUUUAUCAAACUUCCUAACAAAAGUAAAUGAUUUGUCCGGUAGUUAUUUUUAUCUAAUCUCCAAAUCUACCUGUCAAGAAUUAUCCUUUAGAGAGAAGGUAGGGAAAGCUGCUAAGAAAUAUCUCACUAGAGCUGAUGAGAUGGCUCAGUGGAUAGAGGCACUUUCCUCCAUUCCUGAGUUCAGUUCCUGGAACCCACAUGGUUGAAGGAGAGGACCCACACUUGGCAGCUGUCAUGUAUAUGCUACAACAUGCCCUCCCUCUCUACCCCAUACACAAAACAAAAGUUGUAAGGUUGUAAGACAUUAACAUGUUAGCCGGGCGUGGUGGCGCACGCCUUUAAUCCCAGCACUCGGGAGGCAGAGGCAGGCAGAUUUCUGAGUUCAAGGCCAGCCUGGUCUACAGAGUGAGUUCCAGGACAGCCAGGGCUACAGAGAAACCCAGUCUUGAAAAAAAAAGAAAAAAGAAAAAAAAAAGAAAGAAAUGUACAUGUUGGUGCAUUUAUACUUUGCCUACAUGUGAGAGUGACAUAUUCCCUGGAAUUCGAGUUACAGACAGUUGUGAGCUUCCAUGUGGUGGGUGCUGGGAACUGAACCCAGGUCUUCUGGAAGGGCAGCCAGUGCUCUAACCACUGAGCCACUUCUCUAGCCCUGUGAAUAACCUAUUUUUAUAAUGUAAAACUAUUACUUUAUCUUGAGACUGUUAGAUUAAGUUAAAAUUCUCUAGCUCUCAGAUAUGUAGGGUCACCUUCUUAUUAAAUGUGGGCAUUUAUCUGCCUAUCAAUAGCCAGGUUCCACAAUAAACCCCAGGCACUCUUUUCUUUCUCCUUCUCUCUCUCUUUAAAUUUGGUAUGAAAUGCAGAGUGUUUAUCUCACUUUUGCCUAGGGAUUCACAGACCAGUGAAGAACAACCAGUGAAGAACAGUGAAAGCCCAUUUGAAAAAAGCUGGAAAGACCAAGUUAAAAGUCUUCAAAGGACCAAGAUUUUGCUCUUUUUCCCUUUGGGUCCUUAAUAUAGUUUAAUAAAUGCAAGUUUGGGCUUCCUGAAAUUACCCAGUUGAACAUAUUCUCCAAGUGAGCAGAUGUCUGUUCAGAAAAAGCAGCAGUGUGGGGUGGGGGUGGGGGUGGUGGAGAGGAUAUAUGGUGAGGGGGGCACACCGUGAUUCCUUCCCAGCUGGCACUCUGAGUAGUGCUGUCUAUGUGGGGAACAGCAGUUCCAUCCCACUCCCCCCCACCCCCCAUUUUCUCAGAAAGGAAAGGACCUGUGUGUUUACACAGCUUCCCUCUGCAGCUUCAGUGCCUGCAACCUGAGAGCCAAGUGUCUUGAGGGAAACUUUUUACCUGGUGGCUUCCUUGAUUUCAGGACAUGAAAUGUGAGCACACAAAGGACUGCAUUUUCAAAUUCUCCAGAGUCAACAGACAGACUUGUACUCCGAAAGGGAAGUGGGAAAGCAGGUAAGAGAGAAGGUCUGAAACACAAGGUUUCACCUCAGUGGCAACUUCUUUACAAUGAGUAAUUCUGGGUUCUCAAUUUUGCAUUGAGUCUGCUAAAGGAGAUAGGAACGGGCUGUUUGGAUGAUUUAGAUAGAAAAACCAGUGUGUGCUAAAGAAGCCUGCUACUGCUUUUGGAGGAGCCAGGUUUGAUCCCCAGCACCCACAUGGUGGCUCACAGCCGUGUGUAGUUCAGAGGCUGGGGAAAUGGCUACUCUUCAAUCAGAGCACCCACUGUUCAUAAUGCAGUUGUAGAGGACCUGAUGUCCUCGUCUGGCUCUGUGGGCAUCAGGCAUGCAUGUGAUGCAUGGACAUAGAGAUAAACACCUGUUUUAUACUAUGUAACACAAAUUUAAAACUAAAAUUAAAGCCAGGGCCUCAAGUUUUCUGACUCUAGUUCUGUCUUGGUUUUGGCUGUCUAUGGUGGUAGGGCAUGAACCUAACAGACAGAAGCUAUGCAAACAUAGGCACAGGCCUAACAGUCAGAAGCUAUGCAGACAUAGGCACAGGCCUAACAGACAGAAGCUAUGCAGACAUAGGCACAAGCCACUCAGGCUUUGCUGCUUCCUAGACUUUAGUACAAUUGUACUGCCACCCCACUAACUCCUUUGUUUUUUUACCUGCAGACACAUUACAUCUGUUUCAGCAGAAAUUUCUAAAUCUUCCUAAAUGACUCACCUUUAUACUAAGCAGCCUUGGAAAUCUACCUAUCCCAGAUUAACAGCUGGAAGCACCCACCUGGUUCUAUCUUAUUCAACAUUUCCAGGACUUAAACAGUGAUCAUAUAUCAAAGUUUGUCACCGAGUAUCACUAAUGUAAGAUGUCAAAGCUAUCAUAACUUCUUUGGUCACAAUGGUCUCAAGAAAUUUUAGUCAUCUUAAUUCUUACAUAAUAACUCCUCUCCAAGCCGGGAAGUGGUGGCACACACUUUUAAUGCCAGCACUUGGGAGGCAGAGGCAGGUGGAUUUCUGAGUUCCAGGCCAGCCUGGUCUACAGAGUGAGUUUCAGAAGAGCCAAGGCUGCACAGAGAAACUGUCUCGAAAAAACAAAAACAAAAACAAAAACAAAAAUAACUCCUCUCCAAUAUUUUGCUUACUUAUUGCUUUAAGAAGAAAGUCAUACAGAAUGAGGCUGUAGCUGUGUGGUAGAGUACCUGCUAACCAUGUGUAAGGCCCAUCAAGAAAGAUCACAUACAUCUCUGAAUUUUCUGCUGCUGUACUGUACUUCAUAUUAGCCACCUGUCUAUUUUAUGAACAUUCAAUUGAGUAUGCUUCUCUAACCUGAAUAUAGGAAAAUGGCUAAUUAUCACAAACUGAUAGUAACUAAUUAUUCUGUUUGAUGUGUGUGUAUGUGUGUAUCCAGUGUAGAAGCUAGAGGUCAAUGUCUUUCUCCAUUGUUCUCUCUUUUUUUUGACAGGGUAUUUAACUGAAACUAAACCUUGCUGUGUCAGCUAGACUAUCUGACCAUCCAGUCUCCAGGAUCCACCUGUCUUUGCCCCCUCCUCCAGCAUGGGGGCUAUUUAUUUAUUAUAUGUGAGUACACUGUAGCUGUCCUCAGACACACCAGAAGAGGGCAUCAGAUCUCAUUAUAGAUGGUUGUGAGCCACCAUGUGGUUGCUGGAAUUUGAACUCAGGACCUUCGGAAGAGCAGUUGUUGCUCUUAACCACUGAGCCAUCUCGCCAGCCCGUGCUGAAGGUUUCCUUAAGUCCUUUUCACAAGUUAAAAAUUUAUCUGGAUGGGGUUUUACUCUGGGGUCACCUAGCCUGUGAUUUUAGACAAAUAAAACGUUUGCUUUCUAGACUUCUCUCCCUUCUCUAACAGGUCAGGUGCAUUUCCUUCCCUUCUGUCUAAGUCUACCUUUCAUCCUCUAAGACCUGUCUAAAGUCAUGGUCUAGGGUCUCUUUCAUCAAGCACUCCAUCACUAACCCAGGUACUGAAACUGUCCUAUUUUUAACAUCUGUGGUACAUAAUCUAUACUGCAUCUAUUGGGCAAAUAGCAUAUACUAGCUUAUAUGUUUAUGUUUCUUCUGUAUUAUAGUUUAGUUAUGUUUUAUUGCUUCACAGCCUUGACACCUAAUAUACUUUUUCACAAAAUAAGUUUCCUGUAAUUGUUCAUAUUAAAGAUGAAUCAAACACAUAUACAUACCCCUUGGGCAAGUUAGACAGCACUCUAGUAACUUUAUACUUCAAAUCCAUACUGGGAAUCUUUAGCCCUUUCUCCCCCCGCCCCCCAACAAAUGAGUGUGAGCCUCUCCCCCAAAACUCAGGCUCCUCUUUCAUUCCAACCCAGGUUUCAAAAGACAAAGCCCAGUACUCACAGUGAACUUUAUUUGGGUUUGUCUGUUUCCUACGGGACAUGUUUCCCUGAUAUCCAAGCUCCGUUCUUCCCCAGUUUCACCCCUGGACAGGUCACUACCUCCUCGUACGGUGCUGACC